GAGAAAGUAAAUAAGGGCGUAUGGAGGAUGCCUUGGCUCUUAGAGGCGAUGAAGGACGUGAUAAGCUGCGAUAAGCUGCGGGGAUUAGCAAAUAUGAAUUGAUCCGUAGAUUUCCGAAUGGGACAACCCGGCUAGUUGAAGACUAGUCACUCCGCAAGGAGAGCAAACCCGGAGAACUGAAACAUCUAAGUACCCGGAGGAAGAGAAAACAAUAGUGAUUCUGUUAGUAGUGGCGAGCGAACGCGGAAUAGCCCAAACCGAUUCAGUUACGGCUGGAUCGGGGUUGUAGGACUACAAUAAUUAUUAAUAAUAGAACAAGAACUGUAUGGGAAUACAGGCCAUAGAGGGUGACAGCCCCGUAUUGGUAACCUUAUUAAUGAUAGUAGUAUCCUGAGUAGGGCGGGACAGGUGAAAUCCCGUCUGAAUCUGCCGGCACCAUCCGGUAAGGCUAAAUACUCCUAAGAGACCGAUAGUGAACAAGUACCGUGAGGGAAAGGUGAAAAGUACCCUGAAUAAGGGGGUGAAAUAGUACCUGAAACCAUACGCUUACAAGCGGUUGGAGCAACUUCGUGUUGUGACAGCGUGCCUUUUGCAUAAUGAGCCUACGAGUUACUCCUCACUGGCAAGGUUAAGUGAUUAGAGUCACGGAGCCGGAGCGAAAGCGAGUCUGAAUAGGGCGCAUAAGUCAGUGGGGGUAGACGCGAAACUUGGUGAUCUACCCAUGACCAGGAUGAAGGUGCGGUAACACGCACUGGAGGUCCGAACCAGUAAACGUUGAAAAGUUUUUGGAUGAGUUGUGGGUAGGGGUGAAAGGCCAAUCAAACUGAGAAAUAGCUCGUACUCCCCGAAAUGCUUUUAGGAGCAGCGUGGAGGUUAAGUCUAAUAGAGGUAGAGCUACCAAUAGGACUAGGGGGAGUCACAUCCUACCAAAUCCUGAUGAACUCCGAAUGCUAUUAGAUAUACUCUGCAGUGAGGGCAAGGGUGCUAAGGUCCUUGUCCGAAAGGGAAAGAACCCGGACCAACAGCUAAGGUCCCCAAAUUUACACUAAGUUGAACUAAGGUAGUCCAGUUGCUGAGACAGCCAGGAUGUUGGCUUGGAAGCAGCCAUUCAUUUAAAGAGUGCGUAACAGCUCACUGGUCGAGCGACAGGGCAUCGAUGAUAAUCGGGCAUUAAGUGUAAUACCGAAGCUUUGGCAGAAUUUAUUCUGGGUAGGGGAGCAUUCCAUUCACAGUGAAGCCGUAUGGUAAUGUAUGGUGGAGUGUAUGGAAAAGCAAAUGUAGGCAUAAGUAACGAUAAGGCGGGUGAGAAACCCGCCCACCGAUAGACUAAGGUUUCCUGAUCAACGCUAAUCGGAUCAGGGUUAGUCGGGACCUAAGGCGAACCCGAAGGGGGUAGUCGAUGGACCAUGGGUUAAUAUUCCCAUACUACCGUUAACAGCGAUGGAGUGACGGAGAAGUGAAAGGCUCGCGUGCUGACGGAAUAGCACGUUAAAGGGUGUAGGUAUUGGACUUGUAGGCAAAUCCGCAAGACUAGCUGAACCUGAUAGUACCGCAAUCCUUCGGGAGCGCGGAUAGUGGCCCUAAUCAGGCUUCCAAGAAAAACUUCUAAGUAAUGUUAAUGGUACCCGUACCGCAAACCGACACAGGUAGUCAAGGAGAGAAUCCUAAGGUGCUCGAGUGAUUCAUGGCUAAGGAACUAGGCAAAAUGGCCCUGUAACUUCGGGAGAAGGGGCGCUUCCUCACCUUCGGGUGAGAAGCCGCAGUGAAAAGGCCCAGGCGACUGUUUAGCAAAAACACAUGGCUUUGCGAAAUCGAAAGAUGAUGUAUAAGGCCUGACACCUGCCCGGUGCUGGAAGGUUAAGGGGGGAUGUUAUCCGUAAGGAGAAGCAUUGAACUGAAGCCCCAGUAAACGGCGGCCGUAACUAUAACGGUCCUAAGGUAGCGAAAUUCCUUGUCGGGUAAGUUCCGACCUGCACGAAUGGUGCAACGAUCUGGGCACUGUCUCGGCCAUGAGCUCGGUGAAAUUGUAGUCGCGGUGAAGAUGCCGCGUACCCGCAACGGGACGGAAAGACCCCAUGAACCUUUACUACAGCUUAACAUUGACAUUGUGUAAAUAAUGUGUAGGAUAGGUGGGAGACUACGAAGCGGUGCCGCCAGGUGUCGUGGAGUCGUUGUUGAAAUACCACCCUUUAUUUACGUGAUGCCUAAUCCCUGUAAGGGAGACAGUGUUUGGUGGGUAGUUUGACUGGGGUGGUCGCCUCCAAAAGAGUAACGGAGGCUUUCAAAGGUUCCCUCAGUACGGUUGGUAAUCGUGCGCAGAGUGCAAUAGCAUAAGGGAGCUUGACUGUGAGACCUACAAGUCGAUCAGGGUCGAAAGACGGAUAUAGUGAUCCGGUGGUUCCGCAUGGAAGGGCCAUCGCUCAAAGGAUAAAAGGUACUCUGGGGAUAACAGGCUGAUCUCCCCCAAGAGCUCACAUCGACGGGGAGGUUUGGCACCUCGAUGUCGGCUCGUCACAUCCUGGGGCUGGAGAAGGUCCCAAGGGUUGGGCUGUUCGCCCAUUAAAGUGGCACGCGAGCUGGGUUCAGAACGUCGUGAGACAGUUCGGUCCCUAUCUGUUGUGGGCGUAAGAAGUUUGAGAAGAUCUGACCUUAGUACGAGAGGACCGGGUUGGACUAACCUCUGGUGUACCGGUUGUGGUGCCAGCUGCACCGCCGGGUAGCUAUGUUAGGAAGGGAUAAGCGCUGAAAGCAUCUAAGUGCGAAACCCACUUCAAGAUGAGACUUCUUUAAAAGGACGUUAAAGACGAUGACGUUGAUAGGCUGCAGGUGUAAAGGCAGAGAUGUCAAAGCUGAGCAGUACUAAUUACCUGUAAACUUUCUCUA
rnacentral:rRNA from 1 species